rnacentral:tRNA from 1 species
GGUUCUAUGGUGUAAUGGUUAGCACUCUGGACUUUGAAUCCAGCGAUCUGAGUUCAAAUCUUGGUAGGACCA